GCUGCUAAUCCACAGACCUCACUUUGAGUAGAAAAGUCCUAAAAUAGUGUUUCCUAAACUUUGCUAUUUGUAUGAACCUCCCGGGUGGCAAAUGCAGAUUCCAGGCCCUUGUCCCAGGACUGCAGGGAAGGGGCCUGGGAAUGUGUAUAAUUGUGGUUGUCACAUCAGGCAGUUUGGGAACCGGUGUCCUAAGAAAUUCCAGACCAACUCACCACAAAGCAGAGAGGACCUGUUUUUCAUAUCUUCCUGUCUGAUCGGUAUGCUGGACUUCAUCCACAUUCAAAGGAGCACACCCGAGAGAAAAUGGAAUGAGAAAAAAAGAACAAUGCUGAAAACGCUGGAGAUGGUCAUGGGUGCAAACACUUCAGUGCAAAAGACUGAAGAAAAAGGAGUCCGAUGUAAUAAUCCUGCGGCCAGCUACAAUAUGCCAUUCUUCUGCACCUUGGUCAGUGGGACAGAUCCCUGGGCUCCUCCAGGGGAGAAGGAGGAGAAAACUUCUUUCCCACUUGGGACAUGGUUACGGCUGGGUUUUGCAGCUCUCACUAUCUCCCCUGCAGGGAUGGCCUGGAUCCUGCCAUGUAAAUCAAAGAAGAGAGGGCCUGACUCAGCUGCCUAGCCUGCGUCACCUGGAACCCAUUAUGAUACAGGAUCAUAAACACCUCCAUUUUCCCUCCAGAGAGAGACCAGACCCACUGAAGUUAAGCUACCUGCAUAAGAGUUGAGUGCGAUCAGCUGUACUUAAUCUUUAAAUGUCCAACCCACUGAUAACCUUUGGUUUGCUUUGAUAACUGUGAAAUAAAUUCUCACUGCAUCGGAUGCCGGCAUUCUGGUUUCUAUUCAAGGCUGUGGUGCAGAUGUCAUGGAAUCUUGGACUGGACAACAGUCCUUGGAGAUCUCUGGGGCCAGUUACUGGCUUUUAGGCAUUUAAUUUCUAAGCCUCCCUCUGCCAACUCUAAAUUUCUUCGGGGAAUGCCAUGGCAUUUGUGCAUCACCAAGCUUUAGGUGCUCUCUGGGGUGAGAACCAUUUGGAGGUGGGAGAAAUGGGAGAAAAAGAAAGACCCAGCAAAUUCAAAGCUUCACAACAUGGUAUAACAGGAAGAACACUGUCUAAGUUUCAAGCAUCUUGGGUUUGAAUCCAACUCUUCUGUUCUCACCCUGCCUCAGCUUCCUAGCCAUGCAAUCUUGGGAAAAGGAUGUUAGCUCUUUUGCCCUUAGUUUUUCUCUUCUGUAAAGUGAAUGGGAAUGGUCAG
rnacentral:lncRNA from 1 species